UUUUAUGUACACACCUACAACAUAGUUUUAAUGCAUCAGAUCCCAUUAGAACUCUGCAGUUAAGUGCACUCGGGCUAUAAUAGUACUGGGAUGGGUGACUGCCCGGGAAGUCUUAGUAUUUUAAAUG
rfam:Picea glauca, whole genome shotgun sequence.